rnacentral:rRNA from 1 species
AUUGAACGCUGGCGGCAUGCUUUACACAUGCAAGUCGAACGGCAGCGCGGGCUUCGGCCUGGCGGCGAGUGGCGAACGGGUGAGUAAUACAUCGGAACGUGCCCAGUAGUGGGGGAUAGCUCGGCGAAAGCCGGAUUAAUACCGCAUACGACCUGAGGGUGAAAGCGGGGGAUCUUCGGACCUCGCGCUAUUGGCGCGGCCGAUGGCAGAUUAGCUAGUUGGUGGGGUAAAGGCCUACCAAGGCGACGAUCUGUAGCUGGUCUGAGAGGCCGACCAGCCACACUGGGACUGAGACACGGCCCAGACUCCUACGGGAGGCAGCAGUGGGGAAUUUUGGACAAUGGGCGAAAGCCUGAUCCAGCAAUGCCGCGUGUGUGAUGAAGGCCUUCGGGUUGUAAAGCACUUUUGGCGGGAACGAAAAGGACUGUGCCAAUACCACGGUUCGAUGACGGUACCCGCAGAAUAAGCACCGGCUAACUACGUG